rnacentral:sRNA from 1 species
CGAAAGUCUGAAAAUAUACUGACAUAAAAUGCAUCAUUAGCACAGUGUCUUAUGUAAAUAAAUAGAACCUUAUGGUUCUUAAAAAAAAAAUUUCAUCUAGUGUCAUGGCUUUACUCGUGAAAAGAAACCUUUAUAGAUGUAUUUUGUGUGUUUUGUGCAUGCCUGCUAGUACAUCGAAAGUUGACUGGUUCGGACCAAACAAAGAGUUCAAAUGUCACUGUGAGUCAAGCUGUAGCUAUGAUGGUACUUGUCUGGGUAAUGGAAAGUGCGCCAGAGGCUGGUUUGGUUUGAAAUGCCAAUAUA